AUAUGAAUUUAUAUUUUUUUCAGCAUUUAACUGUAUUAUUUAAUCCAACUAUCCAGUCCCCACUGUACACACCUCCCAGAGCGGACAUUAAACCGCAGCCGCGGUUCACAAUGGACGGGCUUUGUUGUCGUUUCGUCGGCGUUAUCAAUUAAAUGUAAAGCGAGGCGCAGCGCAAACGAAAUGGAAAUGAAAAUGGCAGCCGUGAGAUACGCCAGAUACACCACACCACUUACACAGAUACUACGGGGGACGCACAGAUACUUAAUACCCUGUAUGUAGUAUUUAUAUACAGUAGUGCACACGUUUACAAAAGUUUGUUAUUAUUAUAUUUGCGAUGAGCGGAAAUGCCAAUUGAAGCUCUACCUUUAACAAAGCCCCAUGAAGAUGACCCCCCGCCCCCGGGGGUUAAACUGAUGGGUGGACAAAUGGAUGGAUGGACAGACUGUGUGCAUGACUCAAGUGUUUUUCAGGGGAGCCACUCGAGCCAAAGUUGAAAAUUGAUUGAUUCCACUAAGCGAAUGAAAAUGGAAGCUAAAACCACUCGAGAGCGUUCAAGAUAACCUCGAUCAGG